CGAGCAUAUUUUCUCACUCAUGGUGUAGGGAAAAAUAUGCUUAAGCAAAGCAUCUGAUACAAUCUUCUCUCUGAAAGAACUCUCCAGUCUCCAUUGUUAUUCUCCAGCUCAGUUGCACUUGAUUCUGUUAUUCCAUGCCAUUGUUGAUGCAAUCGAUCAACUAUAAAUAAAGGGUUACUGGAAGAGCUACCCUUGAGGCCAGCAAGAUAUCAUCUCUUUCGCUCACAAGAGAAAGAAGCCCUAGAAGAAGAUAUGGCAUCCCUCAAGGCUGAGAAACCUGCUGGCUCUCAAUUGCCUGGCCAGGCCAAGCAAGAGCCUCCCAAACAAAGCGGCAGCGCCCCGAAAGCCCCGGCGACGAAACCUGCCCCCAAGAAGGCCGAGCCGAAGCCGGCUCAGCCUAGGAAGAAGGCAACCGGUGGCAAGAAAUAGAAGAUCGCGUCGCGGUUUUUGUCGUGCCGGAGACUCUGUCGUGAAGCUUACACUCAUGGAAGGGCCUCUCUAAUAAGUGUGUGUCUUUGAUGAAUACGGUGUUGUACUUUAGCUUUUGAAUUUCGACCAUGUCCUCCCUCCGUUUCAGCUCGCCGUGAUGAAUAAAAGAUAAGUAUUGAAAGAAA